AGUGAACGCUGGCGGUAGGCCUAACACAUGCAAGUCGAACGGCGGCACAGUAAGAGCUUGCUCUUACGGGUGGCGAGUGGCGGACGGGUGAGGAAUACAUCGGAAUCUACUUUUUCGUGGGGGAUAACGUAGGGAAACUUACGCUAAUACCGCAUACGACCUACGGGUGAAAGCAGGGGAUCUUCGGACCUUGCGCGAUUGAAUGAGCCGAUGUCGGAUUAGCUAGUUGGCGGGGUAAAGGCCCACCAAGGCGACGAUCCGUAGCUGGUCUGAGAGGAUGAUCAGCCACACUAGAACUGGGACACGGUCCAGACUCCUACGGGAGGCAGCAGUGGGGAAUAUUGGACAAUGGGCGCAAGCCUGAUCCAGCCAUACCGCGUGGGUGAAGAAGGCCUUCGGGUUGUAAAGCCCUUUUGUUGGGAAAGAAAAGCAGCAGGUUAAUACCCCGCUGUUCUGACGGUACCCAAAGAAUAAGCACCGGCUAACUUCGUG
rnacentral:rRNA from 1 species